rnacentral:piRNA from 1 species
UGCAUUGUUCUUUUUCACGGA